GAACGCCGUAUGCGGGGAAACUUGCAUGUACGGUGUGGAGUGGGGGAAAAGCUGAAGAUAGUAUCAAAGGCUUACCUAUCACUAU
rnacentral:ncRNA from 1 species